GAGACGAAGGGGAAGGAAAAAAGUUAGUACCCGCUCCCUCAUCACGCAGCAUUUCUCAGCUUUCACAUCCUUCACCUUAUUGCUUUUCCUCUCAAUCCAAAUCCUCCUCCCCUUCCUCCUCCUCCUCUUCCUCCUCUUCCUCCUCCUCCUUCUCCUCACAAGAGACUCGUAGCCAAUCAGCUCGUCUAGGUUACCCAGCCAUCCAAUCAAGGUCACUGCGAAGGCUUCUCACAUCAAUACAUCCCUGCCACACUUUUCCGUCUUUGCUGCGUAGUCUUCCUUCUACUUCUUAUCUGUGAUUAGCUGGGAAUAGUUUUUAUUUCUCUUCACCUAUUUUUAAAUCAUUCGUCAUACCGGUUUUACCUUAAUUUCAAGAGGGUAAACAACCCCCGAUCCGGGCUACUUAGGUCACUCACACCGCCAGGAAUACCUACUGUUAUCCGGAAAUAUCCAGUUUUUAUUUGUCUUGAACCUUUUUCAUUAUACGUCAUUUUGUUUUUUCCUUAAUUUCAAGCGAGUAAACAACCCCUGAGCCGGGGCACUCAGGAACACGCCGGGAACACGAGAGCCACAGUCACGCCCAUCGAUAAGAAGCCGUGGGGGGGACGCGCACUCGGAUCCUCUUGGACCCGAGCCGAGGCAUGGCCGAGCACUCACCAACCAUGGCAUCGUCCAAUUCCCCAUGUCACUUACUAUGAAGCUAACGCAGUGUAGGGCUUGGCACACAAGGCUCACAAUCAAGAGAUCCCGGAUUCGACCCCGAGCAGCGGAGGGGAGACUUUUUUAUUUUAUUUUUACGUCGCGGCCUAUUGCGCCAGUAGGCUUCUUCCCGGUGGGGCCUGAUGGUUUGCCCAGCCCGUUCUGGCGCAGGCGAGUGUUUAUAGUGGCGCCAUCUUGUGUUGGCUCAUCUUUGAGCCUCUCUUUGGAGAAGUUAUCUAGAGCCCGGGUUGAUGGGUGGUCUUCAGGGCAGCAUGUGGGUAAUGGGUAGCCACUCGGCGGUGACUGAAAAACCUCAGCGAUGCGGCGGCCAGGAUUCGAACCCGCGUCCCACCUUAAGCUCCUGAACGCGGGGCCGUCACGCUAACCACUCAGCCACCGCCUCCCAAAGUACUCUCAUUCCUAAAGUACCGGGUGCCAAUCGGUAGUAGUGGCCGGCAUCACGGGGAGGUGACCUGCAUGCCUUCCGUCUCAGCUCGUCUGCGCCGCCAUAGCGUGAGGAAGAUUGUCUCUAGGCUCUGUAUGGGGCGGAUCUAAGACCCCACAAGGCACCCGAAAGUGUUCAUAAUACAGCAUCACGCUUCUUGGUCAAGUGCCGUUACCCUCGAGCUAUGGAUCUUUUAAUAUCUUUUAUUUCUUCCUUUUCUCGGAAACUGAGGGAGGUACUGUAGUACAAAUGAGGCUGUCCUCGCUGUGCAGUGUCAUGCCCUAGGACUGAAGGAGGAAAGACAGCAAGUGAAGAGAGGAAGUCCUUGCCCUGCUGUGCGUGCAUUAUGAGGAAAGAAGAAUGAGGGAAGGAAGCAAGGCAAGGGAUUAAUAAGUCCUCGCUGUGCUCAAGGUUCAUCAGGAGGAAAGAGGGAGAGUGAGGAGGAGGAGGAGGAGGAGGAGGAAAGGAAUAAGAAGAUGAGAAAGCAGUUGUCCUAUAGUAUAUGCAUUUAUUAAGAUGAUGGAAGAGGAAGGAAAGACAAGAGUUCACCUUCACCAUUCAAUGCAAAUAGAAGAACACAGGAAGAAAGAAGGAAGGAAGGCAGAAAGCAGCUCCGCACGACGUAAAACACAUGGAUGAAGAUGAACAGGAAAAGGCAGAGGGAGAUGUUCUUACUGUGAUGCAUAAAAAAAAAAAAGAUGAAUGGAAUGGAAAGAAGGAGGGAGGAAGGCAGCAGCUCCUCACCUUGCACCACAUAUGGAAGAAAAAACCCAAGAAGGAAGAAGGAAGGAAGGAAGAAGGAAGGGAGGGGGGAAUGAAGGAAGGAGAGAAGGAAGGAAGGAAGGAAGCAACGAAGGAAGGAUAGCAGAACGGAGUGAAGGUAGGUAUUUCCUCUUACUCUGCAGUACACCUGGAAGAAGAAAAAAGAAGGGAGGAAAGAAGCAGACAAGAAAGACAGGAGUUUACCUUCACCAUGUGGUACGAAUUGAGAGAGAAAGAAGUGCCAACCGAUGUUCUUACCAUUUACAACAAAUGAAAGAAGAUUGGGAGAAGGAAGAAAGGGAGAAGGAAGGAACGAAGGAAGAGUAUAACAUGACAUGAGGAAAGGGACAGGAAGGAAAGCCGUAUGCUCUUAAGUGUACAACAUAAGAAAGAAGAUCAGGAGACGAAGGAAGGUGUAUAGCAUGAUGAGAGAAAAGGAGAAGGAAGGAAGGAAGGAAGGAAGAGUAUAACAUGACAUGAGGAAAGGAACACGAAGGACAGCCCCAUGCUCUUAAGUGCACAACAUAAGAAAGAAGAUCAGGAGCUAAAAGAUGGAAGGUGUAUAGCAUGAUGAGAGGAAAGGAGAAGGAAGGAAGGAAGGAAG